rnacentral:lncRNA from 1 species
UUCAGCUUAUUCGUAUCUAAAGUGUCACCCAAAGUGCCAACAUUCAUCCAGGACUGGUGCUGUUAGAAUGUUAUCAGAUUCUGUCUGAGAAACAUAAACAUCAGCACUCGCAGGAAAGUACAGCUGAUUGUAGGGAAUUUUUCAAAGAAGUAUAAUGUGAUACCAACCCCAUGGGACUGAGGCCAGCAGCUGCAAGAGGGCACACUGAGAGGUGAGCCCUGCAGCUCCUCUGCACCCUGAGGAUAGACAGGGCAGAAAGGUGGAGAAGAGGCCUGAGUCUUGUGGGAUGUUCUUAAAUAAGAAGUUGAGCUGCUUGACUUGAUGCAGCAGGAGAGAGAGGGGACAUGCUUCAUGGGUGCUGGCAUGGGCCUCCACAUUUCCCUAGAGAACUAAGGAAACAUGGAGAAAUUGUGGAGGUCUUAAAAGAUGAAAGGGAGAUUGACACACCAUUGAGAAUAAGAGAAUGUCAUUGGAUAACCCUAGCUAAUCCUUAGAGAUCAC